GGGCGUUUAGCUCAUUUGGUACCUGGCUUUUAACCGGAUGGUGCCGAGUUCGAACCUCGGAACGCCCACCA
rnacentral:tRNA from 1 species